AGCUUUGCGCAGUGGCAGUAUCGUAGCCAAUGAGGUUUAUCUGAGGCGCGAUUAUUGCUAAUUGAAAACUUUUCCCAAAUUCUCCAUCAGGCAUGUUACAUAUAUAUGUAUGUAUAUAUAUAAUAUAUAUAAUAU